CCCAGACCGAUAGCGAACAAGUAGAGUGAUCGAAAGAUGAAAAGCACUUUGAAAAGAGAGUUAAACAGCACGUGAAAUUGUUGAAAGGGAAGCGUUUGCGACCAGACUCGCCCGCGGGGUUCAGCCGGCAUUCGUGCCGGUGUACUUCCCCGUGGGCGGGCCAGCGUCGGUUUGGGCGGCCGGUCAAAGGCCCUCGGAAUGUGAUCACCUCUCGGGGUGUCUUAUAGCCGAGGGUGCAAUUGCGCCUCCUGGACCGAAGAACGCGCUUCG
rnacentral:rRNA from 1 species